AUGUACCAAAAGUACAUUGCCGAGUUGGACACGAUUACGCCUGAGCAGGUGGUAUGGCAGCCAUAUGGCGCAGGUAAGAGCUUGGGGUACACCCCGGAGUUCCGCCUCAACCCGAUGUGCUUGCGGGAUAAGGAUCUCUGGCUUAUGCGGUGCCCACUAAUAUGCAACUGGGCAGUUGAGUUUCAUUUGCCGCAUCGCGUGUAUCGUCAGUUUGGUCUGUUCCAGCCUCACCCCCCGGAUUGGGUGGACACGGACAAAGCACUUCAUAGGUUGGACAGGAGAAGGCAGCGGAAGAUAAAGGACUGA
rnacentral:rRNA from 1 species